rnacentral:rRNA from 1 species
UAGGGAAUCUUCCACAAUGGGCGCAAGCCUGAUGGAGCAACACCGCGUGAGUGAAGAAGGGUUUCGGAUCGUAAAACUCUGUUGUUAGAGAAGAACACGAGUGAGAGUAACUGUUCAUUCGAUGACGGUAUCUAACCAGCAAGUCACGGCUAACUACGUGCCAA